ACCACCCGGUUCUGGAACCUGUUUGGAGGCCUGUAAAAGGGCCUCCAAACAGGUUUGUGCACAUCCCUACAGGAGAGGGGGGCUGCCUUGGGCCCUGUGAGGGGAAAGCUGCCUCAGGCCCAGCCAUUUGACACCUUUGCUGCAGGCCUGCUGCCUGGCCCACCAUUCGCUGCCUGCGACCUGCCCCUUCACCUUCCCUCCUGCCCACUUCUAGCUUCUACAGGCCUCUGUAGCUCUAUCUGGCUGCAACAGCUGCAGUGGCUUGCUGCCCUUUCAUCAUAGUGUGGCAUAAUGACAUCACAGCCUGGCACUAAGGCAACAGGCCAUGAUGUCAUUAUACUGCACCACAGCUGACAAUGGUGGACAGGGUCAUGGAGGCCAGGGUGCAGUUGAGCCCAGGAGGCAUGGGCCCACCAAACAUUUUGGACAUGAGGCACCGCCAAUGUCACUAUGCCAUCUCUGGCUGUGGAGUGCCAGGAAUUCUCAAACAGGACAGUUCCAGGGUUUGUUGAAGCCACAUUUGAAUUUGGAUUCCAUGUUGAGUACAUGCUUGAAAACUGAUUGUGAAUUACUAAUGGAAAAAUGAAAAUGCAAUGGCUCUAUAAACAACAGAGGCUCCAUGUACUACUAUUUAUUCUGAAAGGCGACUAUUGUGUCAGUUGUUCCCCUCCUGCCUGAAAUUAUCCUGAGAAUCCAUGAGGAAAUCUGAACAAACUAUUGUG